CUUUGAAUACAUUUAUCCUUUCGGUUCUCUUGCAAGUGAGAAGACAAAGCUUUGAGAGGCUGCACUGAGCACUAGACAAUGUCCCAGACCGUGAUCAUCCAGCAACCUAGCUCCGUGGGCUCUGCCGUCAUGUCCCCAACGGGUGACUGGAGCACCGGGAGGCUGUUUAGGUACGUUUUGCCCAGCAAUUCUGGCAUGUUAUGUGGCAAACAAGUAUGGAGAGAACUGCUGCCUUGGCAUCACUAUUGGAGGCAUGACGGCGCUGCGAACUCACAUGCGUCUCUCUUACGGCAUCCAGG